rnacentral:rRNA from 1 species
CAGCAGCCACGGUAAUACGUAGGUGGCAAGCGUUGUCCGGAACUAUUGGGCGUAAAGGGCUCGCAGGCGGUUUCUUAAGUCUGAUGUGAAAGCCCCCGGCUCAGCCGGGGAGGGUCAUUGGAAACUGGGAAACUUGAGUGCAGAAGAGGAGAGUGGAAUUCCACGUGUAGCGGUGAAAUGCGUAGAGAUGUGGAGGAACACCAGUGGCGAAGGCGACUCUCUGGUCUGUAACUGACGCUGAGGAGCGAAAGCGUGGGGAGCGAACAGGAUUAGAUACCCCGGUAGUCCCUGUCUCUUAUAC